UUUUGUUCGUAGCCCCGUGCAGCCCCUUGGGAAGAGCUAUCCCAGAUGCUGAUCUAUCAGAAGAUGAAUCAGAGCCAUCUCAAAUUGGUGCUUGGAGCAUUAUUGUUUUAUCAUCAUCAUGGCUAGGAUCAACCCUUCCCGGCCAGAGGUUAUUCAACAACUGAGACCAUAUCUGUUUUCAUAAUGGAGCCACUGCCUUUGUACUAUAUUCUUGUUCUAGGGGUAGAGGAAACCGAGUGUAGUAUCUCUGCUUCAUGCUAUAUCACUAUCAUGUUAUCAUCCAGCUGUACAUAUCUUGAUCAAUAAUAAAUGCACAAUUGUUCAAGUGCUUUUCACUACA